rnacentral:rRNA from 1 species
GGGUUGUAAAGUACUUUCAGCGGGGAGGAAGGUGUUGUGGUUAAUAACCGCAGCAAUUGACGUUACCCGCAGAAGAAGCACCGGCUAACUCCGUGCCAGCAGCCGCGGUAAUACGGAGGGGGCAAGCGUUAAUCGGAAUUACUGGGCGUAAAGCGCACGCAGGCGGUCUGUCAAGUCGGAUGUGAAAUCCCCGGGCUCAACCUGGGAACUGCAUUCGAAACUGGCAGGCUUGAGUCUUGUAGAGGGGGGUAGAAUUCCAGGUGUAGCGGUGAAAUGCGUAGAGAUCUGGAGGAAUACCGGUGGCGAAGGCGGCCCCCUGGACAAAGACUGACGCUCAGGUGCGAAAGCGUGGGGAGCAAACAGGAUUAGAUACCCUGGUAGUCCACGCCGUAAACGAUGUCUACUUGGAGGUUGUGCCCUUGAGGCGUGGCUUCCGGAGCUAACGCGUUAAGUAGACCGCCUGGGGAGUACGGCCGCAAGGUUAAAACUCAAAUGAAUUGACGGGGGCCCGCACAAGCGGUGGAGCAUGUGGUUUAAUUCGAUGCAACGCGAAGAACCUUAC